AGAAUCAACGCUGGCGGCGUGCCUAACACAUGCAAGUCGAACGAGAAAGUGGGAGCAAUCCCAUGAGUAAAGUGGCGCACGGGUGAGUAACACGUGACUAACCUACCCUUGAGUGGGGGAUAAACCUAGGGAAACCUGGGCUAAUACCGCAUAAUACCUACGGGUCAAAGGAGCAAUUCGCUUUAGGAGGGGUCGCGGCAGAUUAGUUAGUUGGCGGGUAAUGGCCCACCAAGACGAUGAUCUGUA
rnacentral:rRNA from 1 species